UCCGGACAGCAGGAAUGGGAGAGCCGCCUCCAACCCCAGCCCCAUGGAGCAGGGCAGAAACGCUGCCCACUGCCCUGCUCCUGCCACCAGGAAGGGCGUGUGGGGGGCCACUUUCUGUAAAGAAGAAACCGCCUGAACAACAAGUGGCUCAAGGCACCCUUGUCUAACGACCAGGGACACUGAGCGCCAGGGCCCAAGUCACCAGCAAGAGAAAACCCAGGCGGAGCCCAGGGUGUCCCCCACUGCCCACCAGCCACUGCGGUCAACGUGAAGGGCAAGGGUGCAAGCGGGAUCGCGUCACAGGGAGCCGAGUGAGCCCAGAAAGUAGGAGAAGGACGUUUCCACCCACCUGGAGCGCAGUCCGUUUGCAGCCGGCGGCAGAAUGCUGCUGUCUCCAUCAAUAAAGUCCAUGUUAGCCACCUAGAGGAUAAAAUACCACGAGGAGGAGUAGCAAGGUGCCCCUGUUGACAGAUCUUGAAGCACAAGCUCACUCCCAGAAGCACAGCUGCCUAGUCAACAAACAGCUGACAAUACAUGUCUGAAGGAGCUCAGCUGGGAACAGAAGAAUGGCCCCACUGAGCCUAGCCUAAAUGGCGGACCAUCUCAAUUAUGAGCUAAUAAGUUUUGGAUGAUUUGUUAUGCUGCCAUACCUAACUAAUACAUGCACCCAGUGCAGAUUGGGUGUCAAGAUUUAAAGACAGUUUGAUUAUUAGUCACCUUCUAACAAUGGGCACCCUAAAGGUACUGACAUUUUUCCCGAUUUAAAGUUAAAUGUCUUGUAAGGCAAUGUUGACUGAUGCAGGAAUACUUGUAGACAUGUAUGCAUGUGAUUGGUGCUUAUAUGCACACAGUCCCCCACACCACAGGAAAAAACCGAUGACCAGAGCCUGACCAUUAUGGCCAAGGCCAAAUAGCCAAAGUUUGCCUUUAAUCUAUUUUCUUCAUAUCUAAAAAUUGGAGGUCAAUACUGUGGACAGGUCUGAAGACAUAGAGUUUUGUUCUCCUGUGGCCCCAUCAUUCUUCAGUGGUCUACCUGUGGUUAUUUUAUUCUUGUUACCUUCUGCUCUUUCUAUGACCACUAUCUGUUCCACCCUUGAAACUGAAGACAGAUGUUAGUAGAAAGAGGCUGUUCCCUCAUGUCGGGCAUGUGGGAUACGAUGAGGUUUCUCUUCAAAUAGCCUGAUCAAUCUUUUAUUCUUUAAUUCAUAGUACCCACACACACACCCCUUUUUUUCCUUUUUCUCCUUUUUCCUUUCUGCCUUUGUUAGAUGCCCAGGCACGCCACAGUACCAGGCAUUAUCAGUACCAGCUCACAUUUCUUCCCUUAUUUGGAAAGAGGACUAACUUUCUAGCUCAAUGCAGACACCCCUUCCCCUUCCUCUCUGCAUUCUUUUGCAUGCCCACCUUAUCUAAAAAAAUCAAAUGUUUAGCCAACCAGGAUUAGUUCAGAUUGUACGACCCGACCCUGGCCAAUGGGGAAAGGGUACAGGGGCAGGACUUGUGUCAGGAAUAAAGGCUCUUGUGCCCCUUUGUUCAGGUGUGCUCUCAUGGUGACUGGACAAGAACGCACCCCUCUGUGCAGAA
rnacentral:lncRNA from 1 species